UACGGAGGGGGCUAGCGUUGUUCGGAAUUACUGGGCGUAAAGAGCACGUAGGCGGUCCGCUAAGUCGGGCGUGAAAGCCCGGGGCUUAACCCCGGAAUUGCGCUCGAGACUGGCAGGCUGGAGUCCGGAAGAGGAGAGUGGAAUUCCCAGUGUAGAGGUGAAAUUCGUAGAUAUUGGGAAGAACACCGGUGGCGAAGGCGGCUCUCUGGUCCGGUACUGACGCUGAGGUGCGAAAGCGUGGGGAGCAAACAGG
rnacentral:rRNA from 1 species